GUCUUAUUAUAUGCAAUACCCGUGCUUCUAAUUAAAAUGGCUAGUAUUUGAUGCAUUACUAUGAGGCGCCUCAAUACUGUAAUGUAUUCAUACCUUAGUUGAUUAGACUUAGAGUUAGGCCUGUUUAUAUGGAAGCCGGACUGUCCCGCUUAUAUCGAGACAGCACAGUAUGCGGGAUGAAUUUCUGUUGUGUUUAAAUGAAAAAAAUUCAUCCCGAUUCCCGUGAAUAUUUUGUUAUUAGUAAGUUAAAAAUAUCUUACGG